UACGAAGGGGGCUAGCGUUGUUCGGAAUCACUGGGCGUAAAGCGCACGUAGGCCGAUUGGUCAGUUGGGGGUGAAAUCCCGGGGCUUAACCUCGGAACUGCCUUCAAUACUGCCAGUCUCGAGUCCGGAAGAGGUGAGUGGAAUUCCUAGUGUAGAGGUGAAAUUCGUAGAUAUUAGGAAGAACACCAGUGGCGAAGGCGGCUCACUGGUCCUGUACUGACGCUGAGAUGCGAAAGCGUGGGGAGCAUAUAGG
rnacentral:rRNA from 1 species